rnacentral:lncRNA from 1 species
AUGAACAAUCCAAUCCAGACUCCUUGGCCCCCUGCUGUUAGCCAGAUGGCUACUCCAUUAGCAUCACCUACUCCCACGCACGACCUCCCCGUUCAGCCAGCUCGACUCAACACACACACCUCACCUUCUCCUCUGACGCCCGUUGCCCUGAGUCCGGAAGAGGCUCGGGACAUCUACACCCAGCUGAAAGCUCAGUCGGCCCCAGAACCGGACCUCUGGGCCUCCAGCGAACCCGAGAACUCACCAUACUGGGGAACCUGCCUUGCUCUGCGGGUUAGCGCUCCCGAGGACGGCCCUGCUAAACGCCGCCGCUCACGUCGGAGACCGAGAGCUUCACCGGCCCCCGGCUCUGCAUCGUCCUCGGCUCCUGUUCCAGUCUCCGCUCCAGUCACCACAGCUUCGGCUCCAGUUCCUGCCUCAGUUCCCGCCUCAGUUCCUGCUGCUCCAGCUUCAGCCUCAGUUCCCGCCUCAGUUCCUGCUGCUCCAGCAACAGCCUCAGUUCCCGCCUCAGUUCCUGCUGCUCCAGCAACAGUCACAGUUCCCGCCUCAGUUCCUGCUGCUCCAGCAACAGUCACAGUUCCCGCCUCAGUUCCUGCUGCUCCAGCAACAGUCACAGUUCCCGCCUCAGUUCCUGCUGCUCCAGCAACAGUCACAGUUCCCGCCUCAGUUCCUGCUGCUCCAGCAACAGUCACAGUUCCCGGCCUCCACCACAACAGCUCCUGUUCUGUCUCCAGGCGGGUCGGCGCAGAGGUGGUCGCCUCUCCAGCCUGUCCCGUUCAUGCCGCCGGAGCAUCCGCCCGCCGCUCCUCAGCCGGCUCUCCAGGCCUCCGCUCCGCAGCCGGCUCUCCAGGCCUCCGCUCCGCAGCCGGCUCUCCCGACGCCCUUCGGUCAGCGGCUCUCCUGGUGCCCCCUCCGGGACGGCCGCCCGACGCCCGGCUUUCUGGUUCGUCGCCUCUUCAUUCCUGUUCGCCGCCUCCCGGCCGUCCGCCGGGGGUCCUCCUGGUCUGUCUGCCGCCUCCCGGCCGUCCGCCGGGCCCCCUCCUCCCACCCGUCUUGGUGUGCUCACCUUCCUGGUUCCCUCUUGGGCCGUCUGGGAUCCGGCCCUUGGGGAGGGGGUUCCGUCACCGUUUCGGCCUGGCAUCAGGCCAAGCUGAAGCUUCCCCUCACUUCUCCACUUCACUCUCCCUCUGGACUCCACCCACCAGCCCCUUCUCUCCCUCUGCUCACAGCAAUCAGCUGAACAUUGGACUCACCUGUGCCCACUUUCCCCUACAAAGCUCUCCUCAGCCCUUUCCCCUCUGUCAGUUCGUCGUCGCUCCCAACCUGUCUCCAGCGUCGUUCCCCCACCUGUGUCCAGCCUGUUUGCAGUUAGUUUCCCAUGCCUGCUCAACCCUGCCAGCUGCUGCUUAA